UCGAGAAUCUUCCACAAUGGACGAAAGUCUGAUGGAGCGACGCCGCGUGAUUGAUGAAGCCCCUCGGGGUGUAAAGAUCUUUUAUGAGUGAAGAAAUUUGACAUUAGCUCAUGAAUAAGAGGCUCCUAACUCUGUGCCAGCAGGAGCGGUAAUACAGAGGCCUCGAGCGUUAUCCGGAAUUAUUGGGCGUAAAGGGUGCGUAGGUGGUUUAGUUAGUCGUCCGUGAAAGACCCCUGCUUAACAGGGGGACCGCGAACGAAACGGCUAGACUCGAGUAUGUGAGAGGUAUACAGAACUCUAGGUGUAGGGGUGAAAUCCGUUGAUAUCUAGGGGAAUGCCAAAUCCGAAGGGAGUAUACUGGCACAUUACUGACACUGAGUGCACGAAAGCGUGGGUAGCG
rnacentral:rRNA from 1 species